UACGGAGGGUGCGAGCGUUGUCCGGAAUCACUGGGCGUAAAGCGUGCGCAGGCGGCCUCUUAAGUCAGAUGUGAAAUCCCCGGGCUUAACCUGGGAACUGCGUUUGAAACUGGGAGGCUAGAGUGUGGAAGAGGGGGGUGGAAUUCCAGGUGUAGCAGUGAAAUGCGUAGAGAUCUGGAGGAACACCGAUGGCGAAGGCAGCCCCCUGGGCUGACACUGACGCUCAUGCACGAAAGCGUGGGGAGCAAACAGG
rnacentral:rRNA from 1 species